rnacentral:lncRNA from 1 species
GGGGAUUUGUGAAUGGGGGGGUGUGAAUGGGGGGGUGUGAAUGGGGGCAGGGAUUUGUGAAUGGAGGGGGAGUGAGAAUGGGGGGGGAAUGGGAAGGAGGUGAAUGGGGGGGGAAUGUGAAUGGGGGGGAGAGAGGGAGGGAAUGUGAAUGGGGGGGAGGGAAUUGUGAAUGGGAGGGAGGGGGAGGGGGGAAUUGUGGGUGGGGGGGAGGAAGGGGGGGGUGGAAUUGUGAAUGGGGGUGGUGGGAGAGGGAGGAAUCGUGAAUGGAAUGUGAGCGGGGAAGGAAAAAGUGAAUGGAGGGAGACGGGAACAGAAAGCAGUUCUGAAUGGAAUGGAAUGGAAUGGAAUGGGGUGGGGUGGGGGUGGGGAGGGGUGGGGGUCCUGGCAGCUCACAGAGAUGUGGGAUGAAUGAAUUGGGAUGGAAAGGUCCUUACAGAUCACAGAGCUAUGGGGUGGUUGGGUUGGGAUGGAAAGGUCCUGACAGAUCACAGAGCUACGGGGUGAUUGGUUUGGGUUGGGAAGGUCCUGACAGAUCACAGAGCUAUGGGGUGGCUGGGUUGGGUUGGGAAGGUCCUAACAGAUCACAAAGGCAUUGGACAGUUGGGUUGGGAUGGAAAGGUCCUUACAGAUCACAGAGCCAUUGGAUGGUUGGGUUGGGUUGGAAAGGUCCUAACAGGUCACAGAGAUGUGGGAUGGAUGGGUUGGGAUGGAAAGGUCCUGACAGAUCACAGAG